rnacentral:rRNA from 1 species
GACGAACGCUGGCGGCGUGCUUAACACAUGCAAGUCGAACGGAAAGGCCCUGCUUGCAGGGUACUCGAGUGGCGAACGGGUGAGUAACACGUGGGUGAUCUGCCCUGCACUUCGGGAUAAGCUUGGGAAACUGGGUCUAAUACCGGAUAGGAGCCAUCUUUAGUGUGGUGGUUGGAAAGUUUUUUCGGUGUAGGAUGAGCUCGCGGCCUAUCAGCUUGUUGGUGGGGUAAUGGCCUACCAAGGCGGCGACGGGUAGCCGGCCUGAGAGGGUGUACGGCCACAUUGGGACUGAGAUACGGCCCAGACUCCGACGGGAGGCAGCAGUGGGGAAUAUUGCACAAUGGGCGCAAGCCUGAAGCAGCGACGCCGCGUGGGGGAUGAAGGCCUUCGGGUUGUAAAAUCCUUUCGAUAGGGACGAAGCUUUGUUGUGACGGUACCUAGAUAAGAAGCACCGGCUAACUACGUG